UCAGACUCAUGAGAGCUGCAGCUUAUUCCAACUGCAAUGGCCUUAAGACCGAAGCGGGGCCAGACAAGAAUGACCAAUGUGCUGGUAAAUUGAAGAGUCGUUCGACAAUCACCCAGGUGUGUGCCCAUUGCUGGCAUAGGUGGCACUAAUAUUCUCACUGAUCCUGACUUUGGAGAGGGGACAUGUUGAUUAGCACAUGCAGUGACGCAACUAAACAAUAAAGAGACCCAAACUGAGCCAACAGAUGAUCAACUAAUUCAAGGGUUCCAGCAAUCCUGGAGGGCCACCAGUUUUAUUCCAGCCACUUUCCUCUUUAGCUGUUAAUGAAACCCAUUAUUUAAUUCAAUGGCUGGUUACUGUUUUCAUUCUGCUACACCUGUCAUUUCUAAAGCUGUUUUAUUUCUGAGAUCACCAUCCAAAUGUUUAGUGGACCAGAGCAGAUCACUAUAUAGUAAGAUGCUGCAGAUGUUCU